CACAAUCUGCCAAUUAUGUUGACUACUUGACUAGUUCAUCCACAGUCAUUCUAACUACCACAAUAGCAGAUUUUCUGUAUAAACACGGAGCCUAUUUUGUUGUGGGACAACGCUUAAAAAGCUUUAUCUUCUAAAGAGUUUAAGUGUUCACUCUGAGUGUACAGAUUUGUUUACAUUAAUUUUGAAGGUAAAUACAGUUACUUUUUUAAGUAAAUAUGUUUACUUUUUUUUUUUUUAAUAAAGAAUAAUUUAUGGAUGGGAAGAGUAAGAGCCCGUUUGGAUGGGCUUAUAAGUUGGUCAAACCAACUUAUAAGCCCUUUUUAGCUUAUUGUAGUGUUUGGCUACCAACUUAAAAUGUCAAAUUUAAGCCAAAAAGUGCUUAAAGUCACCCAAAAAUAAAAAGUUGGGAAUUCUAACUUUUUUUUUUGGAUGGCUUAAAGCCAUUUGUGUUGACCAUGAAAAUUACUUUUAUAUCCCUGAUAUUUUAUUUUAAUUCCUAAACUACCCUCUCAGCUAAAGCCCUAAAAUUCACAUUUCUUCUACACGCAGCCUCCACCAUCGCUGUGUGCAACAACCAGCCUCCAAAACGGGCUCUUUCUUCACUCCCUCACUCACUCUCUUUCUCUCUCUAACAUAAAUCUACAACAUUGCCGCUAAAAAAGCAUCAUCUGAUUACUUUGCUUGGGCUGCUAAACAGACUUUCAAUCUUGGUGACUGUUUGAAAAUGUAGUAGAGCGCACAUUUGGCGUUUGGAAAGCAAGAUGGUCUAUUUUGAGAGACAUGUCAUACUAUCACAUUGACACACAAAGGGACAUCGUACUUGCUACUAUGGCCAUUCACAAUUAUAUUAGAAAGAAAUGCAAUGUGGAUGAUGCAUUCCAAACAGCCGAGAAUGAGAGCUAUAUUCCAUCGGUUGAUUCUAAUGAUAUUGGCACAACUUCAAGAGCUAACAAUGUAGAUGUCGAAGA